rnacentral:snRNA from 1 species
GGAUAUGAGGGUGAUCUGGCUGCGACAUUUGUCACCCCACUGAUUGCCAGGGUUGAUUCGGCUGAUCUGGCUGGCUAGGCAGGUGUCCCCUUCCUCCCUCGCUGCUCCGUGUGUGUCCCUCCUGAAGCUGCGCGCUCAGUCAAAGAGGACGACCUUCCCCACUAGAGGAGAACUGUUCUUCAGUCAAGGUAUACGAGUAGCUGUGCUCCCCUGCUAGAACCUCCAAACAAGCUCUCAAGUCAAUCUGAAAUGACACAUAGUCACUGAUCAAAGGUCAUCCUCUAUGGCAU